rnacentral:misc_RNA from 1 species
GAUGAAGAACGUAGCGAACUGCGAUAAGUAAUGUGAAUUGCAGAAUUCAGUGAACCAUCGAGUCUUUGAACGCACAUUGCGCCCCCUGGCAUUCCGGGGGGCAUGCCUGUCCGAGCGUCAUUGCUGCCCUUCAAGCCCGGCUUGUGUGUUGGGUCGUCGUCCCCCCCGGGGGACGGGCCCGAAAGGCAGCGGCGGCACCGCGUCCGGUCCUCGAGCGUAUGGGGCUUUGUCACCCGCUCGAUUAGGGCCGGCCGGGCGCCAGCCGGCGUCUCCAACCUUCUAUUUUACCAGGUUGACCUCGGAUCAGGUAGGGAUACCCGCUGAACUUAAGCAUAUCAAUAAGCGGAGGA